GAUGAACGCUGACAGAAUGCUUAACACAUGCAAGUCCACUUGAACUUCGGUUUGGGUGGCGGACGGGUGAGUAACGCGUAAAGAACUUGCCUCACAGAUAGGGACAACAUUUGGAAACGAAUGCUAAUACCUGAUAUUAUGAUUAUAUGGCAUCGUAUAAUUAUGAAAGCUAUAUGCGCUGUGAGAGAGCUUUGCGUCCCAUUAGCUAGUUGGAGAGGUAACGGCUCACCAAGGCGAUGAUGGGUAGCCGGCCUGAGGGGGUGAUCGGCCACAAGGGGACUGAGACACGGCCCUUACUCCUACGGGAGGCAGCAGUGGGGAAUAUUGGACAAUGGACCAAGAGUCUGAUCCAGCAAUUCUGUGUGCACGAUGAAGUUUUUCGGAAUGUAAAGUGCUUUCAGUUGGGAAGAAAAAAAUGACGGUACCAACAGAAGAAGUGACGGCUAAAUACGUG
rnacentral:rRNA from 1 species